rnacentral:rRNA from 1 species
GAUGAACGCUGGCGGCGUGCUUAACACAUGCAAGUCGAACGGAAAGGCCCUGCUCUUGUGGGGUGCUCGUGUGGCGAACGGGUGAGUAAAACGUGAGUAACCUGCCCUUGUCUUUCUGAUAACUUCAGGACACUGCGGCUAAUACAGGAUAGGAGCUCCUGCUGCAUGGUGGGGGAUGGAAAGUUUGGGCUGUUGGGGAUGGUUUAGCGGCCUAUCCGCUUGUUGGUGGGGUAGGGGCUUACCAAGGCUUUGGGGGGUACCAGGCCUGAGAGGGUGAACGGCGACAAUGGGACUGAGAUACGGCCCAGACUGCUACGUGAGGCAGCGGUGGGGAAUAUUGCGCAAUGGACGCAGGCCUGAUACAGAGAGGCCGCGUGCGGGAUGGCGACCUUUGGGGUAUAAACCGCUUUCGCCUGUGACGAAGCGUGAGUGACGGUAAUGGAUAAAAAAGCCCCGGCUAACUACGUG